UGCAGACAGGAUGAAGACACUAACAUUCCUGUAGCUGAGUGUAAUGGAGAAUGAUGUGUAGGUAAAGCUUCAGAGAAGAGAAUCCCAGGAGAGAGUGAACUUCUGGAUCCAAAAACCUCAUACUCACCAUCUUGGUGACCUAGGAGGUGAAGCAACCAUGAUCAGUUUGACUGAAAUCAAGCAAAUCCCAAGAAAGGCUUCUCCAGUCAGCAACACCUUGAAAUUAUUAUGAUGACUUCAAAUUCCAUAUUAG